UCAUAUGACGAGCAACCCGAAGGUUUAGACCAGGGAAGUUCUGAUGA
rfam:Methanococcus maripaludis C5, complete genome.